rnacentral:rRNA from 1 species
UGAGGAAUAUUGGUCAAUGGGCGAGAGCCUGAACCAGCCAAGUAGCGUGAAGGAUGACUGCCCUAUGGGUUGUAAACUUCUUUUAUAAAGGAAUAAAGUCGGGUAUGUAUACCCGUUUGCAUGUACUUUAUGAAUAAGGAUCGGCUAACUCCGUGCCAGCAGCCGCGGUAAUACGGAGGAUCCGAGCGUUAUCCGGAUUUAUUGGGUUUAAAGGGAGCGUAGAUGGAUGUUUAAGUCAGUUGUGAAAGUUUGCGGCUCAACCGUAAAAUUGCAGUUGAUACUGGAUAUCUUGAGUGCAGUUGAGGCAGGCGGAAUUCGUGGUGUAGCGGUGAAAUGCUUAGAUAUCACGAAGAACUCCGAUUGCGAAGGCAGCCUGCUAAGCUGCAACUGACAUUGAGGCUCGAAAGUGUGGGUAUCAAACAGGAUUAGAUACCCUGGUAGUCCACACGGUAAACGAUGAAUACUCGCUGUUUGCGAUAUACUGCAAGCGGCCAAGCGAAAGCGUUAAGUAUUCCACCUGGGGAGUACGCCGGCAACGGUGAAACUCAAAGGAAUUGACGGGGGCCCGCACAAGCGGAGGAACAUGUGGUUUAAUUCGAUGAUACGCGAGGAACCUUACCCGGGCUUAAAUUGCAGAUGAAUUACGGUGAAAGCCGUAAGCCGCAAGGCAUCUGUGAAGGUGCUGCAUGGUUGUCGUCAGCUCGUGCCGUGAGGUGUCGGCUUAAGUGCCAUAACGAGCGCAACCCUUGUUGUCAGUUACUAACAGGUUCCGCUGAGGACUCUGACAAGACUGCCAUCGUAAGAUGUGAGGAAGGUGGGGAUGACGUCAAAUCAGCACGGCCCUUACGUCCGGGGCUACACACGUGUUACAAUGGGGGGUACAGAGGGCCGCUACCACGCGAGUGGAUGCCAAUCCCCAAAACCUCUCUCAGUUCGGACUGGAGUCUGCAACCCGACUCCACGAAGCUGGAUUCGCUAGUAAUCGCGCAUCAGCCACGGCGCGGUGAAUACGUUCCC